GCCUUUAUAGCUCAGUGGUAGAGCGCAGCACUCGUAUCCUAUUGGAUUCACAUGCUGAGGUCUCUAGUUCGAUCCUGGAUGGAGGCA